UACGUAGGGGGCAAGCGUUGUCCGGAUUUAUUGGGCGUAAAGAGCGUGUAGGCGGCUUGGUAGGUCCGCUGUGAAAACUCGAGGCUCAACCUCGAGAUGUCGGCGGAAACCACUUGGCUAGAGUCCGGAAGAGGCGAGUGGAAUUCCUGGUGUAGCGGUGAAAUGCGCAGAUAUCAGGAGGAACACCAAUGGCGAAGGCAGCUCGCUGGGACGUGACUGACGCUGAGACGCGAAAGCGUGGGGAGCAAACAGG
rnacentral:rRNA from 1 species